rnacentral:tRNA from 1 species
CAAAACGUAGCUUAACAUAAAGCAUCUGACUUACACUCAGAAGAUUCCCGCCAUUACAGGACGCUUUGA